GAUGAACGCUGGCGGCGUGCCUAAUACAUGCCAGUCGAGCGAACAGACGAGGAGCUUGCUCCUCUGACGUUAGCGGCGGACGGGUGAGUAACACGUGGAUAACCUACCUAUAAGACUGGGAUAACUUCGGGAAACCGGAGCUAAUACCGGAUAAUAUAUUGAACCGCAUGGUUCAAUAGUGAAAGACGGUUUUGCUGUCACUUAUAGAUGGAUCCGCGCCGCAUUAGCUAGUUGGUAAGGUAACGGCUUACCAAGGCAACGAUGCGUAGCCGACCUGAGAGGGUGAUCGGCCACACUGGAACUGAGACACGGUCCAGACUCCUACGGGAGGCAGCAGUAGGGAAUCUUCCGCAAUGGGCGAAAGCCUGACGGAGCAACGCCGAGUGAGUGAUGAAGGUCUUCGGAUCGUAAAACUCUGUUAUUAGGGAAGAACAAAUGUGUAAGUAACUAUGCACGUCUUGACGGUACCUAAUCAGAAAGCCACGGCUAACUACGUG
rnacentral:rRNA from 1 species